rnacentral:lncRNA from 1 species
AACCGACACGGCGAACCCUAUGACAGAGGGGGGCAACUCUCUCGAGUUUGGAGAGGCAAGGUCGGCGGUCGGUUGUGAUCACCGGCGCCGGAAAACCAAAGGGAAGAAGAGACCAAACAGGGAUCUCUUCUCCGACCAAAAAUCGGCGACACCCGUCGUCGGCAGUCGCGCACAGAGGCACGGGAAGAAGGGGAAAGAAGAGAGGAAGAGGAGGAAAACUUACUUCGGCCUCCGGUGACCCCACCGGCGAGCAAUCACGGCGAGCACGAAAUAAGUAUCUGCGGCUCCAAUCGGAGAAAUCAAGGAGGAAGAGAGGAGAAAAGGAUCGGUGAUCGGCUUCUAAGGAAGGGG